CCUUUUGGGGAUCGCCGUCCGUCAGCGCGUUGCGCCCACGGGCGCCGUUCCG
rnacentral:sRNA from 1 species